rnacentral:rRNA from 1 species
CCUACGGGAGGCAGCAGUGGGGAAUAUUGGGCAAUGGAGGCAACUCUGACCCAGCAACGCCGCGUGAGCGAUGAAGGUCUUCGGAUUGUAAAGCUCUGUCGCAGGGGCGGAGGAAGAAGGGACCCCGGUAAGAAAGCCCCGCAAACUACGUGCCAGCAGCCGCGGUAAUACGGAGGGGGCUUGCGUUGUCCGGAAUUACUGGGCGUAAAGGGAGUGUAGACGGCUUGUCAAGUUAAGUGUGAAAGCCUGCGGCUUAACCGCAGAAUUGCACUUAAAACUGACUCGCUAGAGUGCAGGAGAGGUGAGUGGAAUUCCUAGUGUAGCGGUGGAAUGCGUAGAUAUUAGGAGGAACACCAGAGGCGAAGGCGGCUCACUGGACUGUAACUGACGUUGAGGCUCGAAAGCGUGGGUAGCAAACAGGAUUAGAUACCCUGGUAGUC